CAGUCGCCGCGGUAAUACGAAGGGUGCAAGCGUUACUCGGAAUUACUGGGCGUAAAGCGUGCGUAGGUGGUGGUUUAAGUCCGUUGUGAAAGCCCUGGGCUCAACUUGGGAAUUGCAGUGGAUACUGGGUCACUAGAGUGUGGUAGAGGAUAGUGGAAUUUCCGGUGUAGCAGUGAAAUGCGUAGAGAUCGGAAGGAACAUCUGUGGCGAAGGCGACUAUCUGGGCCAACACUGACACUGAGGCACGAAAGCGUGGGGAGCAAACAGGAUUAGAUACCCCAGUAGUCCCUGUCUCUUAUAA
rnacentral:rRNA from 1 species